AUUGAACGCUGGCGGCAUGCUUUACACAUGCAAGUCGAACGGUAGACCCUUUCGGGGGUUGAGAGUGGCGAACGGGUGAGUAAUGCAUCGGAACGUGCCUAGUCGUGGGGGAUAACGUAGCGAAAGUUACGCUAAUACCGCAUACGCACUGAGGUGGAAAGCGGGGGACCGUAAGGCCUCGCGCGAUUGGAGCGGCCGAUGUCGGAUUAGCUAGUUGGUGAGGUAAAGGCUCACCAAGGCGACGAUCCGUAGCGGGUCUGAGAGGAUGAUCCGCCACACUGGGACUGAGACACGGCCCUGACUCCUACGGGAGGCAGCAGUGGGGAAUUUUGGACAAUGGGCGCAAGCCUGAUCCAGCCAUGCCGCGUGCGGGAAGAAGGCCUCGG
rnacentral:rRNA from 1 species